CUGCAUGUGCAGGUAUUGUCAUUACUGUUUUAUGCUAUUGCUUUUUGCAACGUGUUCUUGAUUAAAUUUAGAAACUAAACCUAGGACACAUAACCAGGAAAAAGAGGAAUGGAAAGAAAUGAAACUGAAAUUGUGACUAUUGAUGGCAAUGGUCUAUUUGAUUAGUAAGACCAUGAAUAUGGUCAGUUCUCAGUGAAAAUAUGGGUGCUAAGACUAGUUACGGUCUAGCUGUCUUACAGAUGUGUAAUUGAUAAUUUAGUUUGCUUAAGUCACUAAGCAGUUUCUGGAAAAGUUAAUAAAGAUUGGUUGAAACUAGAUAGACAAAAUCAACAAGAGUAAGAACUUUUGAUGCUUAACGAGAUUUUGAGGAACAUGAUGAACUGAUGGAUAUUUCAAACUGAAAAUUUUAAAUCUCUUUGAUUGUGUAAAGGAAAUAUGGUGGACGAAUGUUGCAAAAGGAUAACAUGAAAGAAAUUGAAAUUUGACAAACUGCUCAUGAAAAGGAAAUUGAAACUGUCUGUAGUAUACAAUAUGCAGUAUUUACGAAUUCUAUACUGAGAAAGGGAUGUGAAUCUGAAAUGUGGUACUGCCACAGUGUGAUAAUUUGGAUAAAAUAAAACAGUAAUAGACCAUUGGCUAGAAAUUCACUGCAGGUCUAUAUAUGUGAUUUGAGGCUUUCGGUUGACCAUUUGCUAAAGAAGGGAUUGCUGGGGAUUCUAUUUCAUUAAUGUGUGAUUGUUUGCAUGUCCAUGAAAUGCUGUCAUGGUUACAUGGAUCAUAUCAGCAUGAAUUGAUAUAGUGUAGCUCCAUGUGGGUAACUGCUAACAAAACCGGGUGUUAUAAUUUGAACUGAUCAAAUAUUAUUUUAAAUUUUGAGGACGAAAUUUUUUUUUAGGGGGUGAGUUUGUAAUAUUCUUGUAAUUUUAAAAGUUAUUGAAGAUAUUAUUUUGUAGCUAUAUGUCUAUUUGAUAAAUUAUUUAUCGGUCAAUAUUUGUGAUUAUUAAUCAAUCCUGAAAUUAUAUAUAAGUUAAAGUGAGGUUCAUUGACAAAUAUUAAGACCCUCGGUGGGUAAUAUGAUGCUUGAGAAUUGCGAGUUAAUUACCGUAACUUCUAGAAGUUCUAGAAUUUUAGAGAAUUAUUUAGAAAAUUGAUAUUUCAGUUGGUGAAAUCUAG
rnacentral:lncRNA from 1 species